UCCCUCCCUGAGCGUCGUGGGCUCGGGUCCGUCCCCGGGCAGCGUGUGUGCGUCCCCAUUCUCGCCCUUUGUGGUCAACAGGGCUUGUGGAAGAAGUAAGACAGUGUUUCUCUACUCGGAUGAGGUUCAGAUAGGACCCGAGACGGUCAUGACCACG
rnacentral:lncRNA from 1 species